UCCUUCAAGUGCCAAUGUGUCAGACACAAUAUGUGUGUGUAUGUUUGUGUGUGUGUAUAUAUAUAUAUAUAUAUAUAUAUUAGGUAUACAUCUUC
rnacentral:miRNA from 1 species